UACGAAGGGGGCUAGCGUUGCUCGGAAUCACUGGGCGUAAAGGGCGCGUAGGCGGCUUUGUAAGUCGGGGGUGAAAGCCUGUGGCUCAACCACAGAAUUGCCUUCGAUACUGCAUGGCUUGAGACCGGAAGAGGUUAGUGGAACUGCGAGUGUAGAGGUGAAAUUCGUAGAUAUUCGCAAGAACACCAGUGGCGAAGGCGGCUGACUGGCCCGGUACUGACGCUGAGGUGCGAAAGCGUGAGGAGCAAACAGG
rnacentral:rRNA from 1 species